rnacentral:rRNA from 1 species
GACGAACGCUGGCGGCGUGCUUAACACAUGCAAGUCGAACGAAGUGGCGAACGGGUGAGUAAUACGUGGGUAACCUGCCCUCCUUUUUGGGAUAAGCCUUGGAAACGGGGUCUAAUACCGACUAAAGGGGGAUGGGCUCGCGGCCUAUCAGCUUGUUGGUGGGGUGCUGGCAUACCAAGGCGGUGACGGGUAGCCGGCCUGCGAGGGUGAUCGGCCACAUUGGGACUGAGAGACGGCCCAGACUGCUACGGGAGGCAGCAGUGGGGGAUAUUGCACAAUGGGCGAAAGCCUGAUGAAGCCAUGCCGCGUGUAUGAAGAAGGCCUUCGGGUUGUAAAGUACUUGCAGGCGGGAGGCGUGACCGGCAGAAGAAGCACCGGCUAACUCCGUGCCAGCAGCCGCGGUAAUUG